GGUGGCUUAGUGGUAAAGCGCUUGCCUUGCAUGCAUGAGGCCCUUGGUUUGAUUCCUCAGGACCA
rnacentral:tRNA from 1 species